GGUAGUAAAGCCAUCGUAUCUUUUCUGUUGUAAUUUAUGCGUACGUACUACAAUUCUAUUCGCAUUAUCUUCUAAAUUGACUUGCUUUACAUAACAUUUUGCAAUAUAUGCAUUUUUUAAAUUAAGUCAACAUCAACCUUCUUCUUCACCGCAACAAAGCCUUCAAAAGUAUGUAGGAAACAAUUAUAUUAAUCAACGAAGUUGAAAAAAAGAGAAUACAAAUUACACAACUCAAAUUCAAAGGCAAGCGUUUUUUUCCAAAACGGCGUCCCCUAUGUUAUUUCAAACAGAUAACCAUAACCAUCCAAAAUCCAUAAGAAGUUACAAUAUUGAAGCAUUACGUAUAAUUUAAACAAACUGAGAUUUUAGUCAUUGCACUUUGUUGAUUACCAGGUCAAGUUAGAUUAGAUAAUAUUUCAACAAUAAAACCUUGAACGAACAUCGUCUUAUUUAUUCACCGAAGAUUCGCAUUAACCUCUUUAUGAAAUCAGUACUUAUAUAAAAAACAAAAUCAACGACAACCACUGACUCACAAGCUUCUUACUUGGAUUCUUAAGGGGAAAUGAUAAAAAAAAUCAUUCCUAAAUUGAAGAGUUACACAGAACAAACUUUUAUAAUAAGUCACGUUCCUAAUUCAAAAAAGCAUGUUAUCUUCAUUUCAAUGGAUAUGUCAAUUUAAAAGUUAUUAAAAAAAUGUUCAGUGUAACCUUAACUGUCCAUAAGAUAAUAGAUUACAAUAAAAACCACAAAUGGAAAAGUUUGAUAAUAAUCAAAUGAAAAGAUUCCCGAUCGCAAAAUUGAAUGGAAAUGUCAUUGAAUCAAAGAUUAGGAACUAUAUCUACAUGUACAAUAUACACUUUGUAUGUAGUCUAAGAUACGUAAACAGUGAAUGUUAUCACACUUGGCAAAUGGAACGUCACUGUUUUUAAAACGUGUCAGGUUACCGACUGAAAUAUUUUGACUGGAUUUUGGUUUGCUUAAUGAUAAAAAAUUGAAUACCAAUAGCUUAUAAAUAUGGUAAUGUCUUAAGGUAAGACUUGAAACUUUUACCCUAUUCAUUUCUUUAAUUCUUUAUUUAGAUUUAUAUAUCAUAUGUUUGAUGGAUCUUUUAUGUAAGAAUUUUCUUAUGUUUGAGUGUCAAUUAAGCACUGCAUAUGGUAAACUACAAGAAUUUACUAGAAGAAGCACCUUAUUCAUCAGAAUUCCCAUUAUAGGUAAUGACAUUAUUUAAGAAAAAUUGGGAAUUAUUCAAUAAGCAUACUCGGAAUAUGUCAUUUACGACCGGGGCGAUGAAGAUUUCGAAUAAUUUGUCAAUUUAUAAACAGUAAAAACACUUUCGGG
rnacentral:lncRNA from 1 species